rnacentral:lncRNA from 1 species
UCCAAGCACCAAUGUGAAGAAAUCAUAUAUAUCAUCAACUAAAACAUAGGAAAAAGAAGAGCACAAAGAAAAGUACAUAACAUAAACUAGAAGAAAUUGAAUCAUGAGAGAACUUUACUUUUAUAAAAUCUUACAUUCAAAAAAUAUUAAACAAGAUUGCCAAACCUAUGUACAACUACAUCAUAAUUCAUCAGAAAAUGAAAUUUUGACUCCAAAAGAACUAAAUUUAAUUGCAUCAUGUUGCUUGUUUUCACUCAUCUCUAACUCUCCAUCAUCCAUUACUUCAUUCUUCUAAGAUCACAGAAAAUUCUCCUCUUUUCUCUCUUGAUCUUCCUCCACAGAGUUCUCAAUUGUUUUAUCUUCAUUCUGGUCUCUAGUUUAAUAACACACACAAUGGGAUCAUAGCCAAUUAUCUCAUAACUUGGCCAAUUGUUGUUGUUUGUAGUGUCUAGACUAUGGCAAUAUUCAAGGCUCAUGGUGUUUAAGGAUAGAAAAAUUAGGUAGCAUGUAAUGGUUUUAGAGACCAAUGUGUUUGAACUGCA